GGCCUAAAAGUUCGAUCUCGAGAGCUUUGGCAGAGUCCUGAGAGUUUUUACUCUCGGGGACCGGUCCCUGAUAGGAGAGACCGGUCCCCCAGUGAACAGUGCUGCGCAGCCGGCGAGGCAACCGGUCCCUGGCAGUCGAGACCGGUCCCCGAGCGCGUCUGCGCGGGGAGAGACCGGUCCCGCGCAGGGAGAGACCGGUUCCCGAACGUUGGAUUUUCGGGGGCAGGCUGAGAGACCGGUCCCAGGUCGGGGAGACCGGUCCCUCUGGGCGAAAACUGCCCAGACCGGGCUGAUGUGAUUUUGGAUUUUUGAGGGGCUUAUCAGGAUUUUGUUACUUUAGAGCCUAUAGAGAGCCUUUCUUCUCUCUCUUUCCCUCAUUUCUCUCAACCCUUUGCAUUCUAGAGAGAGAAGAAGAGAGGGAGAAGAAGAAGAAGAAGAAGAAGAGGAGAAGGAGCUUGCUUGGAGGCUUUGGAGCAUCAUCUUCUUCCCCAUUUCUCACUUUGGUGGCUUUGAACUUGUGGUUGGAGCUUUGUGGAGGAUCAAACUUCAACCCUACUUGGUUUUGAGCUUGGAUUGGAGCUUCUCUUGAGGUUGGUAGCUUGUAAUCCCCAUUUGAUACAUGUUUUC
rnacentral:lncRNA from 1 species